AACGAACGCUGGCGGCAUGCCUAACACAUGCAAGUCGAACGGAAAGGUCGGGCCUAGGGGCGCAGGGGGGGGUACCGAGUGGGAACCUACCCGUGGGUUAGGAAUACCUGACCGAGGGGGGAGCUAAUAAAAGUGAAUGUCAUCGGGCCAAGGAUUUUUCGCCUUUGGGUGGGGCCGCGUUGGAUUCGCGGGUUGGUAGGGUAAAAGCGUAGCAAGGAGACGAUGCAUAGCUGGUCGGAGGGGAUGACCAUCAACAAUAGGACUGAGACACGGACCAGACUCCGACGGGAGGGAGCAGUGGGUAAUAUUGGACGAUGGGCGAAAGCCUAAUCAAGCCAUGUCGCGUGAGUGAUGAAGGCCUUAGGGUUGUAAAGCUCUUUUACCCGGGACGAUAAUGACAGUACCGGGAGAAUAAGCACCGGCUAACUCCGUG
rnacentral:rRNA from 1 species